rnacentral:tRNA from 1 species
GGGUGUAUAGCUCAGUGGUAGAGCAUUCGACUGCAAAUCGGGAGGUCCCCGGUUCCAACCCGUGUGUACCCA